GGAGGAAAGGUAAAUGAGACAGCAACUUAACAACACAAGUUUACCAAAUUAGACAUUUAAAGGACUGACUAUCUAACACACCAGGUGACCCUAAAAAUUGUGAAUAAAUCUGAUAUCAUUACUAAGUUUUUAGCAGGUAGAAAAAGUAGAAGUCACAGAAACAGCUAAAUGAUGAUAUAGUUUUAGAAAAUAAUUGAAAACAAGAGAGAACUAGUCACAGUCAUAAAAC
rnacentral:lncRNA from 1 species